rnacentral:tRNA from 1 species
GGGCUCGUAGCUCAGCUGGGAGAGCGUCCGACUGAAGAUCGGAAGGUCAUGGGUUCAAGUCCCAUCGAGCCCA